GGCGGGGGGGCCUCGGCGUCGGGGCGGGCAGGGCCGGGCCCGCGCGUGGCUCCGCUGGGCUCCGCUGGGCUCCGCCGGCCCCGGCGCGGCAGGGCGGGAUGGCGGUCGGGCUGGGGCCGUGGCUGCUGGCCUUGGCCUGGGCCGCGGGGCCGGCAGCUGCUUAUCAGGGUGAUGAGAUCAAACCAGCAACAUCUGCAGUGUGGUGGCGAGAAGGAGGCUCGGGUACUUUGCGAUGCACUUACAGCUCCAAUGCCUCCUAUAUUUAUGUGGCCUGGUAUCGGCAGCGUCCUGGUGGACCCCUGCAGUACUUGCUGCAGAGCAAGGGCCGCGGAGGCUCCUACAGCCACACAGCCCCUUUUGCCCGCAAGAGGUUUUCCUGCCAGGCUGACAAGAACUCCGGCACCCUGGUCAUCACCGAGCUGGAGGUGGGGGACAGCGCGCUCUAUUACUGCACCCUUCAGGAACCACAGUGAGGGACGCUUGGGGCAUGCCUGAACAACAAUGCUUCCUCCCCCUCCUGCUCUCUCUUCCUGCAUGUUCAUGGGGGUCACAGCCCACCUCAGGGGUGAGUCGAUGAAUGGGCUGUGCCUGGGGUCAGAGGGUGGGGGGUCUGAUCGUGGCUAGGUGCUGUCAGUGGUCAGCACCUCCUAUAAGGAAACAGAACAGAACAGGAUAGGAUAGAAUAGAAUAGGACAGAGCAGAACAGGACAGGAUAGGAUAGAAUAGAAUAGAAUAGGACAGAGCAGGACAGGAUAGGAUAGGAGAGACUCUUUCAAUUGGAAGUCGUCUUCUAGUCCAGCUGCCUGACCAGUUCAGCAUGUUAUUAAGGGCGUUGCCUGAGUGCCUCUUAAACACCGAGAGACUUGGGGCAUUGACCAGCUCUCUAGGAAGCCUGUUGCAGUGUUUGGCCACCCUAGCAAUAAAGAAAUGCUUCCUAAUGUCCAGUCUAAACCUCCCCUGGCGCAGCUUUGAACGAUUCCCACGCGUUCUAUCGCUGGAUACCAGGGAGAAGAGAUCAGAACCUCCUUCUCUCCUUCCCCACCUCAGGAAGCUGUAGAGAGCAAUGAGGUUGCCCUUCAGCCUUCUUUUCCCCAAACUAGACAAACGCAAAGUUCUUAGCUGCUCCUUAUAUGACAUUACUUUCAUCCCUUAGGGUGGGAACCCUGAUGUGGGAAACGUGAGCAGAGCAGACAUGUGGUUCACCAUUGUCUUCUCCAUAGGCUGCAAAAGAAUCUCUGCUCUGGCCCCGGGACCACCUCCUCCCCCUCCUUGUUCACUGACCUUGGUGUCUGCAGGGGGGUUUAUCUCACAGUUUUUGUUCCUUUUUUUACCUUGUUGUAAAUAUGUUACCACAGAGGCACCAGCAGCUUAGCGGGUUGGCUUUGUCUUGGCCACCAGUGGGUCAUUUUGGAGCUGGCUGGAAUCAGCCAUGUCUGACAUGGGGGCAGCCCUGGUCUCCUAGCCCAGAGGCUGCCCAUGCAGCCCGCCCUGCUUCCAAAAUAUUGCUGCAUAAACCCUGUAGCGCCACAAGGUCACGCUGCUGGACACGUUCAACUCGGUGUCCUGAAGGAGCCUGACGGCUUUUGGGCCUUUCCAGUUGGACAACCCCCAGCACACACUGGUAUAUGGGUUUGUUCUUCCCCGGGUGCAGGACUUUGCGCUUUCCCUUGUGUUGUGGUUUAACCCCCAUAGGUAACUAAGUAUCACACAGCGCUCACUCUCUGCCUCCUCAGCAGGAGGGGGGACAGAAUUGGAAGUAUAAAAGAGAGCAAACUCGUAGGUUAAGAUCAAGGCAGUUCAGCAGGUGGAAAAAAAAAGCUGGGUGCACAAGCCAAGCCAAGUGAAGAAUGAAUUCCCUACUUGCAUUGGCAGGCAGGUGUUUAGCCGUUUCCAGGAAAGCAGGCCUCCCUCACGCACAGGGAUUGCUUGGGAAGGGAAAUGCCAUGACUCCAGAUGUCCCAAUUUCUCUCCUUCUUUCCUGGAGUUUUAUUGCUGAGCCCGAUGUCAUAUGGUAUUGAAUAGUCCUUUGUCAGUUGGCGUGAGCGUUCCUGGCUGUGUCCCAUCCCAGCUUAUCGCCCACCAUUAGCUUGCUCACUUGGGGCAGCAAGCAAAUCAGAAAAGGCCUUGAUGCUGUGUGAGCACUGGCCAGCAAGAGGUUAACCACCCCUGUGUCAUCAAUACUGUUUUGUUCAUAAAUACGAUACAUAGGACCGUACGAGCUCAUUUGAAGAAAACUAACUGUAUCCGAGCCAGAGCGAGCACACCUUGUUGGACUGCCUGAGGUUCCUCUCAGCCCGUUCCUCUCAGCCUGUCAAGGUCCCUCCGCAUGGCAGCACAAGCCUGUGGAGUAGCAGCCCCUCCUCCCAGUUUUGUUUCACCAAGUCGUGUGUUGGGGGUGCUCUUUAUUCCAUCCUCCAGACCACGGCUGAAGAUGAAGUGGGUCUGGGCGACCCCCGGUAUCAAUACAGACUGGGCAGAAAAUGGAUUGAGAGCAGCCCAGAGGAGAAGGACUUGGAGGUGCCGGUGGACGGAAAGCUCAGCAUGCCCCGCCAGUGUGCACUUGCAGCCCAGAAAGCCAGCUGAAUCUGGGGCUGCAUUAAAAGAAGCGUGUCCACCAAGUCGAGGGAGGUGAUUCUCCCCCAUCUGCCCUCGUGAGAUGCCCCGUGGAGUACUGUACUCAGGUCUGGAGCCCCCAACAUAAAAAGGACAUGGACCCGUUGGAGUGGGUCCAGAGGAGGGCCACAAAGAUGAUCAGAGGGCUGGAGCGCCUCUCCUAUGAGGAAAGGUUGUGUUGGCGUUGUUUAGCCUGGAGAAGAGAACGCACCGGGGAGACUUGAGUAUGAAGGCACAGACUCUGGUUGUGGUGCAACCAGAGACACUGUAUUGUGCAGAGAAGCUCGUAUUUACAUCUCUGAGCCUGGAUACAAAUUCCAGCUGUAUGUACCACCAGGCUCAGGACAGCAACCAUUCCUGCAGUUGCAUAGCUAUAUAUCACUAACAAGCAUGGAGACACCUUUUUGCUACUAGAUAACCGUGUUUAUCUUUCUUACUUCACAAUACCCAGCUGUUCUCUCAUCUCCUGCCAGGUCACACAUUCUUCAUCCUCCUCUCCCACACUGCAUUCUUUCAAAAUACAAAGAGAUCUUCUAAGAAAUAUGUGGAUGAUUUUUAAAUAGGGUCUGUAGCAACAGGACAAGGGGUGAUGGUUUUAAGCUAAGAGAGGGUAGAUCUAGAUUGGAUACUAGGAAGAAGCUCUGUACUAUGAAGGUGGUGAGACACUGGAACAAAAUGCAAAUGCCCCGUCCCUGGAAGCGUUCAAGGCCAGGUUGCAUGGGGCUUUGAUCAACCUGGUCUAGUGGAAGGGGCGUUUGGAGUUAGGUGGUCUUUAAGGUCACUUCCAACCCAAAGCAUUCGAUGAUUCUGAGUUAAACAGGACUGUACCCAGCACUGACCUCUGUGGUACACUGCUAGAUACUGGUGUCCAGCUAGACUUCACGCUACUGGUCAUCACACUUGGGAACUGGCUAUGUGUCCAGUGCUCGGUGUGGAAGAAAAAGAAGGCACCAAGAAACAGCAGGGAUGACGAGGGACUUGCGAGGGUGCAGUGACGGUGGAGAGGACGGAGCUCUGCGAUGCGUGAAGUAGGAGUACGGGGCAAGGGGGAAGGCGCAGGGAGUCUUUUCUCCACGUGUAUCUUGGUGGUCCCCGCGGGCAGGGGAAGGCCGUGUGGGCGGGGCGGGCUGGGGGUGCGGGGCACGGGGAGGGCGCUGCGAGGGGCCGCUGCGGGCCGGCGUGCCGUCCCUGGGGCUGGGGCGGGGGCUGAGGAGGGGUCUGGGUCCGGCCCCAGGCGCGGGCGGCCGAGGCGCCGACCCCGUUCGGCAGGGCCCGGAGGGCGCCGAGCCGGGAGGGCGCCGUGAGCCGCGGGCCGGGAGCGUUCGUGUGCCGGGGCCCCGCGCCCCUGCUGCUGUGCCCGGGGCCCUGCCCCGCAGCCCUCCCCGCGCCCCCCUUCUCCUGGGCGGCAGGGGCCGCGGGCGCGGGGGGCCGGGCCGGGC